rnacentral:hammerhead_ribozyme from 1 species
AUCCAGUUGACAAGUCCCAAAUAGGACGAAACACAUGUCCUAGAU